AUCCAUGCGCCUAACCAAGAGUCCAACUUGUGAAGGACUCUAAUCUAAGUGUCAUACCUCAUCUUAUUUUCAGAUUUUUUUCAUGCCAUUAGCAAGUUAGCACCUACAUUUUGGUCCAUUGGAUGGUGAAAAGUCACUAAUGGGUGGUGAAAAAAAUUACAUAAUGGGAAGCUACGCGAUGCAUCGGAGAAUCGUCGAGAAAAAUAUUUUGAAGAGUCCUUCUGCAUGAAGC
rnacentral:lncRNA from 1 species